rnacentral:misc_RNA from 1 species
GAAAUGCGAUAAGUAAUGUGAAUUGCAGAAUUCAGUGAAUCAUCGAAUCUUUGAACGCACCUUGCGCUCCUUGGUAUUCCUUGGAGCAUGCCUGUUUGAGUAUCAUGAAAUCUUCAAAGUAAAUCUUUUGUUAAUUCAAUUGGUUUCUACUUUGGUAUUGGAGGUCUUUGCAGCUUCACACCUGCUCCUCUUUGUUCAUUAGCUGGAUCUCAGUGUUAUGCUUGGUUCCACUCGGCGUGAUAAGUUAUCUAUCGCUGAGGACACUGUAAAAGGUGGCCAAGUUAAAUGCAGAUGAACCGCUUCUAAUAGUCCAUUGACUUGGACAAUACUUUUAUGAUCUGAUCUCAAAUCAGGUAGGACUACCCGCUGAACUUAAGC